GCUUGAAUCUAGUUCGACUUUGUGAAAUGACUUGAGAGGUGUAGAAUAAGUUGGAGUUGUUUUCGGUGGAAGUGAAAUACCACUACUUUUAAUGUUAUGUUACUUAUUUUGUGGGGAAGAGAUGGGGCAUUGCCCCUGUUUUUGUCCUUAAGACACAUUUUGGUGGGUCAAUCUAGGCGAAAUACAUUGUUAGGUGGGGAGUUUGACUGGGGUAGCUUAUCUGUUAAAUGAUAAUGCAUGUUUCCUAAGAUCUGCACAUUUGGAAUUUUUUCACACAAAUGAUUGUUCUCAACUAUAGGAGCACUUUAUCCACAUUUUGAAGCCAUUCUUCCCAUGAAUUCCUAUAGAUAGGUAUAUCAUCAAAUAAAACAAAUACAAAAUUUAUAAGAUAAGGCUGAAAAAU
rnacentral:ncRNA from 1 species